rnacentral:rRNA from 1 species
UACGGGGGGGGGCAAGCGUUGUUCGGAAUUACUGGGCGUAAAGGGCUCGUAGGUGGUCAACUAAGUCAUACGUGAAAUCCCUCGGCUUAACCGGGGAACUGCGCCUGAUACUGGUUGACUUGAGUUUGGGAGAGGGACGCGGAAUUCCAGGUGUAGCGGUGAAAUGCGUAGAUAUCUGGGAGGAACACCCGGUGGCGAAGGCGGCGUCCUGGACCAAUACUGACACUGAGGAGCGAAAGCCAGGGGAGCAAACGGG